AGUGAACGCUGGCGGUAGGCCUAACACAUGCAAGUCGGACGGCAGCACAGUAAGAGCUUGCUCUUACGGGUGGCGAGUGGCGGACGGGUGAGGAAGACAGCGGAAUAUACUUUGUCGUGGGGGAUAACGUAGGGAAACUUAGGCUAAUACCGCAUACGACCUACGGGUGAAAGCAGGGGCGCUUCGGAACUUGCGCGAUGAAGUGAGCCGAUGUCGGAGUGGCUAGUUGGCGGGGUAAAGGCUCACCAAGGAGUCGAACCGUAGCUGGUCUGAGAGGAUGACCGUCGCCAGUCCGACUGAGAGACGGUCCAGACUCGUACUGGGGCCCGCAGUGGGGACUUUCGGACAAUGGCCGCAAGCCUGAUCCAGCAAUACCGCGUGGCUUAAGAAGGCCUUCGGGUUUUGAAGCCCUUUUGUUGCGAAAGAAAAGCAGCAGGUCACUAACACGAUGUUCUGACGGUACCCAAAGAAUAAGCACCGGCUAACUCCGUG
rnacentral:rRNA from 1 species